rnacentral:rRNA from 1 species
ACACGUAUGAAAGUCAAGCUGAAAGACUUUACUCAAUGAUGUAAGUGGUGGUGCAUGGUCGUUCGUAGUUCGUGGAUUGAUUUGUCUGGUCUAUUCCGAUAACGAGCGAGACCCCAACGUUCCUAAUAGGGGCUUCAGCCCGGCCGGUCGCAAGACUGGUUAGCUGUUGCCUAGGAUUAGCUUCUUAGACGUAUCAGAGCCGAUAAGGUUCUUGAAAUGGGUUAAUAACAGGUCAGUCAUGCCCUUAGAUGUUCUGGGCCGCACGCGCGUUACAAUGGCAUGAAAAGAAAGUGCUUCAAAAGGCGUUUCCGGGGCCGAAAGGUCCUGGUAACCCUUAAUCCCUGCCUUGACUGGGAUAGAUCUUUGCAAUUAUUGGUCUCUAACGAGGAAUUUUUAGUAAUCGUAGGUCAUUAACCUGCGAUGA